rnacentral:tRNA from 1 species
GGGUCGCUAGCUCAGCUGGAUAGAGCAAUCCCCUUUUAAGGGAUUGGUCAUGUGUUCGAAUCACAUGCGACCCACCA